rnacentral:rRNA from 1 species
UUGGGAAAUCACGCGCUCAACGCGUGGGCGUCCAGCGGAAACUGCCUGGCUUGGGGCCGGAGGACUCGAGGGGUACGUCCGGGGUAGGAGUGAAAUCCCGUAAUCCUGGACGGACCACCGGUGGCGAAAGCGCCUCGAGAGGACGGACCCGACAGUGAGGGACGAAAGCCAAGGUCUCGAACCGGAUUAGAUACCCGGGU